rnacentral:rRNA from 1 species
UCGUGGAGGUCCGAACCCACGAGCGUUGAAAAGCUCGGGGAUGACUUGUGGGUAGCGGUGAAAUUCCAAUCGAGCCCGGAGAUAGCUGGUUCUCCCCGAAAUAGCUUUAGGGCUAGCCUCAAGGUGAGAGAUACGGAGGUAGAGCACUGAAUGUCCUAGGGGGUAUUGCACCUACCGAAGACUAUCAAACUCCGAAUGCCGUCAUCUUAUACUUGGGAGUCAGACUGUGGGUGAUAAGAUUCAUAGUCGAAAGGGCAACAGCCCAGAUCGUCAGCUAAGGUCCCUAAAUGUAAGUUAAGUGGUAAAGGAUGUGGGAUUGCACAGACAACCAGGAUGUUGGCUUAGAAGCAGCCACUCAUUCAAAGAGUGCGUAAUAGCUCACUGGUCGAGUGAUCCUGCGCCGAAGAUUUCCGGGGCUAAAACUUACUACCGAAGCUACGGCAUCAGUAAUGAGGGGUAGGGGAGCUUCCCAUACGGGUUGAAGCAUGACCGUAAGGACAUGUGGACAGUAUGGGAGUGAGAAUGUUGGCAUGAGUAGCGAGAUGUGGGUGAGAAUCCCACAGGCCGUAAACCCAAGGUUUCCAGGGGAAGGUUCGUCCGCC